AUAUAUAUAUAUACCGACCAUAUAGGUACGGUGUGAUCAUCAUUAGCCCGCGUCCGGGGUAAGCUGCCCACUGCAGUGGUGUGUCUGCCCCGCCAUGUAGGCACGGUGUAAUCAUACAUAAAAAUACAUAAGCAUGUAUAGGAGUCCAAGUAAAAUCUAUCAUUCUAUCGGAGUGACAUAAGGUCGGUACCCUCCGAUCAUGUUGUGGGAUAGUCAUGAUCGUCAUAUCUCACCUUGAAGGAACUAGCAGCAAGAGGUGAGACUAACAACAAGGAGUAACAUCAAUGAAAUCAUAAGGAUAGGAAUAUCGGGCUCAUCAUAGCAUCAUCAUUAUCAUCAUCACUAUCAUGCAACACAUCUCAUCUCUACUUCAUAAGAAGCUCUUAAAAUCAUUAACUUCCCUCUUUUAGAGUGUAAGAAGAUCAUGGAAAUAUAGAGAAGAAAUCACAAUAUAAGAGUCAUGCCUUUGAAAGAAGGGGACUAGCCUCACAUACCUUUACGCCUCUUUAACUUUAUCGAUUAAACGUUUCCCUCCAAUGUUCAUGAUUCUACAUUCAAGAGAAUUCGUACUAAGGUUAGAUAAUCGGAAACAUGCUUAAGCUUAAGCUAAAGCUAAUGAAAAUUGGGCAACAUCUCCUUUGUUUCUACAACUUUCUCCAUAUAAUAUAACAACUCCCAAACGUCAACAACAACACCCAUAAUAUCAUAUUCAAUAAACUUCAUCGAGCUAAACGUUAUUCAAUUCUCAAAAUUCCCUCUCAAAGUCGUCCAUAACCAUAGCUAUAAUAUGACAUCACAUUCAUCCUCAUAUAAUGCUUCUUUAACAUCAUUUAUAACAAGGUUAUACUCCUAACAUGCCAAGAACUAUGAUUCAAGUCAAGUUACUAUUUAAGAAUACCGCUAUUUUCACAUUUGAGCUUCAUAUUCUACUUUCUUCCCCAAUCCAAGUCAUUCAACCAUUCAAUAUUAUUAGUAACCAGAAAUGAUCAUAAAACUCACCUUUGAUUAUGUAGGAAUGGGCUUUGGAUGAAAAUACUUCACUUGGAGAAAACCUUACUUCAACUCCAAAGAGAUUCUUGACUUCUAGCAACCCUAGUUAGCAUCCUUGCACUUGACUCCACUAAUUAUUGGUGUUUAAUCUUGGAUUCACCUUGAGUUCAUGUUGAUGAAAUGUAUGGAAUGUUCUAGAGCUAUUGAGAGAAGUGGAGAAGAUGGGAAAUGAAAAAUAAUAACUUGGAUCACAUAUUUAUACUUGAAAAAAGAGCUGCCCCGAUCAUGUUAUACGGACACUUAUACGGUCCGUAUAACUUUAUACGGUCCGUAUAAGUGACCGUAUUUCACCAUUAGGAAUUUUCCCUUCCUGUUAAGGUUAUACGAACCCUUAUACGGACUGUAUAAAGUUAUACGGACCGUAUAAGUGGUCGUAUAACUCCAUUUUUUCGAAAUUGUUCUCGUCGAUUCGUUCGAUCUCCAAUCCUUAUGGAACCUUCUUAGAACUUGUUUAACACUUUAUUAACAAUCUAAAGAGAAUUAUAAAUCUUCCUCAAGACACUAUUAAAUCAACAUUAGCUCUGUGCUUUGUAAAAUCCUUCCAAAACACGACUUAUACCUUGCCUUCCUCAACGAACUUCCUCCUCUUGCCUCAAAUGUCUUUGGAAUUUUAAUUAGAAUCACUAAGUAACCUUUCUUACUUGUAGGGACAUUGUAUACAUCUCGCCCUGCAUUAGUCUAUCUACCACAUCAUGACAUGAAAUUUUCGGAGGUGUAACAGUGGGGGCAGCACAUUUCUGCUUUCAGCUGAGCUUUGGGGCUAAGGAGCAAAAGGAUCUCCAAAUUCCAUCUCGAUCUAGGCUGCACGUAAAAAAGGUAAAUACUCUUCCUUUUGUUAUUUUUAUUGUAGUUAUUUAUCUGUGUUUAUUUGGUUUAAUUGUUGUUUGAUUAGUUUAGUAUGCCUUUGUUUAGUUUAGUUUAGUUUAGCAUUAACUGUUUAGGUAUUUUGGUUCCAUAAUCACAUGUGUUAGGUUUGCUAUAGACUUGUUGUAUAUGCCAGUUCGUUUUAAGUCCAUAUGUAGCCAUUGUUUGAUUAAGCAUGACUUGAUCAGUUAAGUUAAUCAUUGACAUGUUUAUAGACCUGUUUAGUUUGAGUGUUGUUAAACCAUGUGUCUAUUAGAUACUAGUUAGUUGCUUGUUAAAGUGUUGUUCAUGUUAGGUUCUGCUUAAUCAUGUAUUCUCAUGUGACUCGGUCAUGUUUAAACCUUUGAUUAUUCACAUGCCUAUCAGUUUAAACCUACGUCUACCUACACAUGUAACUGUUCUAAUUUGUUUUUGUCGUAUAUGUGUUGGAAUGUUCAUCAGAUUGGUAGCUUUGUAUACUUUGUCUGGUGUAACUCAUCAUUUACAUGUUGGAUAAUUUAGACAUUGGUAUAAUGACAUGCUUAAAAAUCUAUUUGCUAUGUGAUUCAUUCUUUAAGGAUUCAUGAGAGGUCUUAGACCUAACAAAAUGCUUAAGUGAGUUUCAAAUUGAGGACAUGAGCACCAACCAGGUUUUAACAAGAGGCCAAAAGUAGGUCUAAAACCAGUUAAAUAGUGAUUUUACCUAUAAGAGGAACUAAAAAAAUGUUUGUUUAAGACCUGAACAGGAGUGUUUGACCUGUAUUAUCUAGUUCAGCAAGAUAACUACACUAUAUUAGUUGAUAAUGAGUUUAGUCUAUCCUGGUCUAUCACUAAACAUUUUCUAAGUGUGAUGUCUUAUUAAUAUAAAGUUCUUAUGGUCCAUGGUGCAUGUGUGAUGGUCUGAAAGCCUGAGUUGUGUAUGUAUGUUGGAUUAGUUGCUUGGCACUUAUGAAAACUAGUUUGAAGCUCCUGUGUAAGUAAGAAAUAUGCCUUUGUAUGACCAAUUAUGUCCUGUGCUUCUCCCUUUACAUAAAGAUAGCCUAUAUAUGCUGCAAGUGUCCACAUUUGAAUAAGCCAUCCUAUUUUUAGUGAAAUCAAGCCUGUCUGUCUGUUUGUUUGUUGGUUUGAAAAAUAGUUUAAACCUUUUGGAUGUGAAAUAAUGUUGAGAUAGCAUAAGUGACCCUGCCUUGUCUUGUUAAUCUUUUUGAGACACUAUGUGUAUAUCUCAAGUCUAGUAUGAUGGUUUGAAUGGUUGAAUUUUCCCAUAUCUUGUGUAGCUGUUCAUGAAUAUUGUUUGCUUAUGUAAAUGCAAUUGGUAAGGGCCUAUUUCAGUUUAUAUGUAUGUUGGGCUUUACCCUGCGUGUAUUUAAUCUAGGCCCAUCUGAAUUUGCUUUCAACUCUUGGGUUUUUCCUCUUUAUUUUUCUAUUAUCAUUCCAUGAUAAACAUUAAUCCUCCUAUAAUUGCAUAUGUAAUUUAUUUGUAUAUAGUUUGUACUUAAGUUUUAUUCAAAUUAGUGAUUAAGUCUAGGUGCUCUCUAACCGUGUUUUUCCUUUUCCCCUCCUCCUUUGCAUGAUGUCAUAUGGCCGGGCCAUUUGGGCCAUUUGCUACGAAACCAGCGUUGGGCCAAAGGUCCAACAGUCUUCUUUAAUCGAGUCCAUUGAAGAAUAGACAAUGUUGAAGGCCCAACCAUGGGUGAAAAUAGAACCUGGUGGGCUUAGGUAGGCCCACCAGCCUAACCCUUCUCUUCAUUCUUACAUAUAUUCAUGUAUAUUUGUAUGUAUAAUAGUUGUAUUUGUAAACAACGUUGAUAUUAUUAUUAUUGAAACCCAAAUGCAUUAGAAGCCUAGGAAA